rnacentral:rRNA from 1 species
UACGUAGGGUGCUAGCGUUGUCCGGAUUUAUUGGGCGUAAAGGGCUCGUAGGCGGCGUGUCGCGUCGGGGAGUAGCAAGCCCGCUGCUUAACGGCGGGUUGGCUUCCGGUACGGGCAUCGCUGGAGUGCGGCAGGGGAGACUGGAAUUCCUGGUGUAGCGGUGGAAUGCGCAGAUAUCAGGAGGAACACCGGUGGCGAAGGCGGGUCUCUGGGCCGUUACUGACGCUGAGGAGCGAAAGCGUGGGGAGCGAACAGG